UCCACACACACCGAGGGUAGCACACCUGUGGCUCCUUGCAAAUGCAGCAGUCUGAUGCAGCUCCUACACAUGCCUACUACUUGAUAAAGCUCAGCACAUUAAACAAGGCUCACCUCCCAGAUUUUUCGUUUUCUUUUCACAGGCAAAGGGCAGAAAGAAGAGCAAAAAUACCAUGGCUUUAUGCCCUGGAAUUAGGCAAAGCAAAUGUUGUUUGCUCUUCCCCUUUUCUUCUGUCAGGGUACGACUAAUUAAGUUGAUGAAGGGAGGCUUUCCGGAGCAGCUGCAACUGAGAGUCUGCAACCCUGGAGAUGCGGUCAGCCAGGCAGCUAUGAGACUCUUAUGCGGGCCUCAACUCUCUAAGUGAGUUUGUGCAUCUCCCCUCAUCACAUCAACAGCUCCAGCUGACUUUCUCUCCCUCUGGAAAAUUUUGCAGGAGCUGGCAACGUUCCCUGUGCUUUCAGCUACAGAUGCCCCUCAUUCAGUUGUUGUCUGAUGCUGGUUGCAUAAUAGACAGUGUCCAAAACAGAGUUGCUGGAGGCCUGAAGCUAUGAAUACACUUGACACUUAGGUCACCAAAACUGGCGAUCUGCAAGCUGAACUUGAAACUUAAGCUGGGGGCAGAGCCAGUGGGUUUGCAACACCAGCUCUUUGGACCUGACAUUAAACUGUUCCCGGAUUUCAGCGGGUAAAGGCAUACCACCCUGCACCAAAUCACAUUGGCUGGGAGUCUGAGAUGACUGACUCAGGCUACAUUUCUGAGCCAGCUUCAAACUUUUCUAUGAGAUCAGAAGAGCUCAAGAUGUACUCAAAAUUGAAAAUGGAUGUUCCUCUGCAAUUUCUCGCUGUUAGUAUUUGGGCCUUGAAGAGAAAGCAUUAUCAGUUGUGAUACUUGGAAUAACAUUACAAGAAUUUGUAAAGUUGGCUAAACCUCUAUCUAAAGGUUUCAAGCUGGUAUUGCCACUGUGGACUGAAUCAAGAGGUGGAGCUAUCCACCACUUCAGGAAGCUACUGAGGUCUCUGCAAUGAUGGUUUAUGGGACACAACUACGCUACAAAUUCUGUCAGUCAGUCACACAAGAGAGCCUGAAAGUUAGUGAGCCUCCAAAGGUGAUUUAAAUACUAGAUGCUGUUGAAGCUUCCCUAGGGGAAUACCAGCAAGGGUAUUUGUCACUGCUGAUUCUGAGGGCAUUUGUGAGCAAAGAAUGUAAGGGAUAACCAUUUUGGCCUUUACAGCACUAGAGAUGUAGCUGCUCUGCCUCUGGAUUUGCUCCCAGACAGCAUAACAUUGUUUGGUCUCAUAUUUCAUGGCAUGAUUUAGCCCUUAAUUAUUUGGGCUGGCAACAGAGGAAGAUUUAUGAUUACAUUUCUGAAACAUAUAGUGCAGAGAGAGAACUGAAAACAGAACCGAAAAGUUGAGCUGUGCAUCCCAGUAGCCUUUAUGCAGUCCCUCUUGAAACUGAACACAGAUGGGGAGAACUGCUGCUGCUGCCUCAGCUGAGUUCGCCGUGAGGGGCAGAAAAUGCUGUGGGAGUGUUGCAAAAAGUUUAGAGAGCACUGGUUUUCAAAUCAGGAUUCCUUACUUGAUACUGGGAUGUGAGUCUCAUGUGCUAGCAAUGGGAAAUGUCAAGCCACUGAGAUCAAUCAGACAUGAUCAGAAUUACGAUUUGAUUGUCUAGGGACAAUGUCAGCAAUGUGUUAUAAGAACCUGUCAAACAUGAAAAUGAAAAGUUUCUGCCUUGAGGCACUGUUCCUCAACAAUCUCCCGUUUAUAUUAUCCCAGAUUGCAAUGCAACUACAUCUUCAUACACUCUCUAUACACCCACCAAAUUUCACUGUAUUUGAAAUAAACAAUGGAUUUUAGAGCACCUUUAAACAUAGACAAAUUCCCACCCUUAAUUAUAGCACGACUUUUUUUUUUUUCUCUGUGGCAAUAAUAGACCAAACUAAGUUAAGGCUAAUGCAAGCAGCAGCAAACGAAAUUUUAAAGCAGUAAGAGCAUAACUGAUGUUGGUUUUUACUAUUGCUGUUAUAUAUAGGGACACAGAAACUGUAAAUUAUAUGCAGAGCAAAUUGCCAGCCAUUAAUUCAAAUGGCAUCUUUUCACACAUAACUAGUCUGUGAGAGACUUUUUUUUUUUUUUUUCCCCAUUAUUAGCUAUUUGCUCUCUUACUCUUCAGGAAAAAAGGAAAAGAAAACAAAAACAAAACAACAUCAACAA